AUUGAACGCUGGCGGCAGGCUUAACACAUGCAAGUCGAGCGGGGGAAGGUAGCCUGCUACCGGACCUAGCGGCGGACGGGUGAGUAAUGCUUAGGAAUCUGCCUAUUAGUGGGGGACAACAUCUCGAAAGGGAUGCUAAUACCGCAUACGUCCUACGGGAGAAAGCAGGGGAUCUUCGGACCUUGCGCUAAUAGAUGAGCCUAAGUCGGAUUAGCUAGUUGGUGGGGUAAAGGCCUACCAAGGCGACGAUCUGUAGCGGGUCGGAGAGGAUGAUCCGCCCAACUGGGACUGAGACACGGCCCAGACUCCUACGGGAGGCAGCAGUGGGGAAUAUUGGACAAUGGGGGGAACCCUGAUCCAGCCAUGCCGCGUGUGUGAAGAAGGCCUUAUGGUUGUAAAGCACUUUAAGCGAGGAGGAGGCUACUUUAGUUAAUACCUAGAGAUAGUGGACGUUACUCGCAGAAUAAGCACCGGCUAACUCUGUGCCAGCCGCCGCAGUAACAC
rnacentral:rRNA from 1 species